UACGGGGGGGCAAGCGUUGUUCGGAAUUACUGGGCGUAAAGGGCUCGUAGGCGGCCAACUAAGUCAGACGUGAAAUCCCUCGGCUUAACCGGGGAACUGCGUCUGAUACUGGAUGGCUUGAGUUUGGGAGAGGGAUGCGGAAUUCCAGGUGUAGCGGUGAAAUGCGUAGAUAUCUGGAGGAACACCGGUGGCGAAGGCGGCGAUCCUGGACCAACACUGACGCUGAGUGAGCGAAAGCCAGGGGAGCAAACGGGG
rnacentral:rRNA from 1 species